rnacentral:rRNA from 1 species
AACGAACGCUGGCGGCAGGCCUAACACAUGCAAGUCGAGCGCGCCCUUCGGGGUGAGCGGCGGACGGGGGAGUAACGCGUGGGAACGUGCCCUUUUCUACGGAAUAGCCUCGGGAAACUGAGAGUAAUACCGUAUACGCCCUGUGGGGGAAAGAUUUAUCGGAAAAGGAACGGCCCGCGUUGGAUUAGGUAGUUGGGGGUGUAAUGGCCUACCAAGCCGACGAUCCAUAGCUGGGUUGAGAGGAUGAUCAGCCACACUGGGACUGAGACACGGCCCAGACUCCUACGGGAGGCAGCAGUGGGGAAUCUUAGACAAUGGGGGCAACCAUGAUCUAGCCAUGCCGCGUGAGUGAUGAAGGCCUUAGGGUUGUAAAGCUCUUUAAGCUGGGAAGAUAAUGACGGUACCAGCAGAAGAAGCCCCGGCUAACUCCGUG